GACGAACGCUGGCGGCGUGGAUUAGGCAUGCAAGUCGGACGGUAGGGCUUUAUCGUAAGAUAGAGUUUGAGAGUGGCGAACGGGUGAGUAACACGUAGGAAUCUACCCUUAAGACGGGGACAACCCAGGGAAACUUGGGCUAAUACCGGAUGAGAGUGCGAGAGAUUGCAUUUAAAAGGAUGGCGAAAGUUGUCGCUUAGGGAUGAGCCUGCGGUCUAUUAGUUAGUUGGUGAGGUAAGAGCUCACCAAGGCGAUGAUAGAUAGGCGGCCUUAACGGGUGGUCGCCCACACUGGGAUUGAGAUACGGCCCAGACUCCUACGGGAGGCAGCAGUCGAGAAUAGUCUACAAUGGCCGGAAGGCUGAUAGUGCGACGCCGCGUGAACGAUGAAUCCCUUCGGGUGUAAAGUUCUUUUAUAUGUGAGCAGUGCUUCUUAUAUUAACAGUAUGGGGAGAGAGAUAUUAGCAUAUGAAUAAGCAACGGCUAACUCCGUGCC
rnacentral:rRNA from 1 species